rnacentral:rRNA from 1 species
CAGCCGCCGCGGGAACACAGAGGGUGCGAGCGUUAAUCGGAUUUACUGGGCGUAAAGCGUGCGUAGGCUGCUUUUUAAGUCGGAUGUGAAAUCCCUGAGCUUAACUUAGGAAUUGCAUUCGAUACUGGGAAGCUAGAGUAUGGGAGAGGAUGGUAGAAUUCCAGGUGUAGCGGUGAAAUGCGUAGAGAUCUGGAGGAAUACCGAUGGCGAAGGCAGCCAUCUGGCCUAAUACUGACGCUGAGGUACGAAAGCAUGGGGAGCAAACAGGAUUAGAUACCCGCGUAGUCCCUGUCUCUUAUAC